UGGGAGGCGGCGGCGCCGGUGGUUGCAGCUGGGCUGAGGCGCAAGGCGGCGCACUCGACGACUGACUGGAGCAGCGGUAAAGGCGGGGAUGGAGAGCGAAGGAUAUAAGUCAGAGUACAGCUGAAAAUGUCUACUGAACGGACUUCUUGGACAAGCCUGUCCACCAUUCAGAAAAUAGCCUUGGGCCUUGGGAUCCCAGCCAGUGCAACAAUUGCCUAUAUCCUAUACCGCAGGUAUAGGGAAAGCAGAGGUACGUGAACCCUAUGACUGUGCAUGUGAAAAUGUUCAGAUAUACUCCUGCCUUGUUAAAUUGAAAAAAAACUCUUUCCUUGCCAGGUAUGUGUGUGUUUUGUUUUGGGGUUUUUUUGUG
rnacentral:sRNA from 1 species